AGGGUUGAGAUCUCUGUUUACUUAGAUCUCUGCCAACUUCCUUUGGGUCUCCCUAUGGAAUAUAAGACCCCGACUCUUCCUGGUGAAGCAUCUGAUGCACGUUCUAUUCGGCGCUCAGCUGGGCUUGAGCUGACUACACUCCCUGGAGCCUUCUCCCGAGGUGCACAGGUGACCUGGGCACAUACAGCCAUUGUGAUGGUACUUUGAGUGGAGGCUGAGUCAUCUCCCCUUUGAGCUGCUUGGCACGUGGCUCCCUUGGUGUUCCCCUUUUACUGCCAGGACACUGAGAUUUGGAGAGAAUCCUGUUACACCUGGGAUUUAGGCACUGUCAAUCUGAAAAAAUACAUAUCCUUUCAGCACUCUGGACGGACUUGAGAACUGUCCUUACGUGACCUAAAGCUGGAGUGUUUUGAGAUUGGAGAAUUAAGAGCGUGGGCACCCUGGCUUCAAGCUCACGAGAAAUCAGAUUGGGAUUUAAACAAUGUUGGGUUAAAGAAAAGUUUCAUAAAGACAGAAUC
rnacentral:lncRNA from 1 species